rnacentral:misc_RNA from 1 species
UGACCACUCAAGCCUAGCUUGGUAUUGGGGUUCGCGGUCUCGCGGCCCUUAAAAUCAGUGGCGGUGCCAUCUGGCUCUAAGCGUAGUAAUUUAUCUCGCUAUUGGGUCCGGUGGUUGCUUGCCAACAACCCCCAACUUCUAA